AAAAGACUUUUAUGAGUUUAUUUGGCGAGUUAUUAGACUAGAUUAAUUAAAAGGUUAUGUUAGAAAAGAACUUAACAAAGGUGGGAUUCAAAACCCAGUCCUAAGGAUUAUUAUAAUAAAUAUCUAACCGUUGGGCCAAGUGAACUAUUGUAGACUGAUUUUCGUGAACUAGUAUGUCUCUCCGUUAAGCCCAUCUAUUCGACCCAAUCUCGAAUUCAGACCCACCACGAUGAGCCCACGUCUCUGCCAGAACGUGGAUCCAACCCAGCUCCGGUCCAAGAAGCCAAUAACCCUUAGGGUUUUUUUUAUUUCAUCUCCUCCAUAGCCGCUACCGUCACUAUCUUCUCUUGAACCUUCUUAUCUUAUCUCCAGUCUCCUUCUUUUUGUUGCCUAACAGUCGCCGUCUGCCUUCAUCUCAAUUAGUGAUCCCCCCCCUCUCAUCGAGACGAUUUUACAGUACCUCCUAAGCCUGCUUGCGCUUCUCAAAAACCAUUGGCGUCGAGGUGAUGGUCUGAGUCCUUAUUCGAAAUGUUAAGUCUGACUCUUGUUUCUGCCCGAUCUUUUCAGAUUAGCUGGAAAUGAUCGAUCGGAGAUGGAGAUAGAGGAAGAAGAAGAAACUAUUCUGGAAAGCGAUAAUGAUUCUUAUUCCUCUCUUUGCUUCUUAUACUUUAGUCAUUUCCAGUUUUACUGUGGAUAACUACCUCAAGGGUAACAAGUGCAAAGUGACGUAGCAGUCACUUAUUACACAAAACAGAAUGAAAACGACAUAGCAUUGAUAAUGAAGUUUCCCUAACUUGCUCUAUCGAAAACUAAACUUUCACUCCAUUGCAAGCUGGUCACUUUGUUCAUCUUCCUCCGUAAAUGAUGACCAUUCAUCAUUCCCUUCUUGCUUCAAUGUACAGCUCACAUCCUGCAUCUUCUCUUCUGAUAGAUCCUCCCUCCUUUACUUGGAUCGAAUUUAUUUUCUUCUAACAAGAGUUGCGAUUUUUUCUCAGGCAUAGAGGGUUUAGUGUCGAUUUCCUUUGUUCCUCGAUGAACUGACACUCAUAGCAAUGGCAACUUUCCUCUUUUCAUCGACAGCUCCGAGACCAAAGUUAUGUUUCGUCCUCACUCUUCUCGUAUCUCUUACUUCAUUGGGGUACUAAUCUCCCUUACCUGUCUCCUUUUAUCCAGUUCAAUGAGGCUGAUAAACUAUCUUCGGCUGUGAUAGUGACGAAAACCUCCUUCUCGCCUUCCUCGCAAAUCGAGUACACUUCAUCGAAUAUGUUUUCAUUUGUUUUAUUGAGGAUUUCAACCCGCCGCUGAUUCUAUACACACUUCUACCGGGAUCAAGAUGAAAACCAGAAUGGUAAAAUCUCUUCUACAAUGCUACGUUCACUUGAAUCCUAGUUUCAAAAUGCUGUUUAAUAUCUUUUACGUUUCAGGAUUCGAGGCCUGGGGAAGUAGGGUGGCCACAAACGAGAUUGAGCUAGCUAAAGAAUCUCAAUCAAAAUAAGAGGGGGAGGAGGAUUCAUUGGAGGGAACGACCUAGCCUACAUGGACUCGCUUCCUGAUAGACAUGUUGAUCACGAUUUAAGUACACGAGCAAGACGCUAGAUUUAAUGUGGUUUCCAAUGGUAAGGUCGACUAGUUUACAGGGAAGUAGAAGAAGAGAAGAUGUUAUUAUCAAGAAGCAAGAGAAUGAAAGAGUAUAGAGAAUUAAGAGAGGAGAAUCAAUGACAAUAUUAAUUUGCUGAUAAGAAUCAAUGACAAUUGGUAGGAACGACCUUUGUUGACAAAUUAACUAUCUUCUUUUUAGAGGUCACAUCAAAUAACUUCAUAACACCUUUCUAUACAACAUUUCGAAUAUAGUGUACAUGUAUUUCAAUAUGCUUCGUACAAUCAUGGAGAACAUGAUUCGCAUUAAUUUGAAUCUCACUAGUAUUGUCACCAAAUAAAUAAAUUGGAGUAGGAAUAGAGACUCCUAUGUCUGC
rnacentral:lncRNA from 1 species